rnacentral:rRNA from 2 species
GGGUUGUGAGGUUAAGCGACUAAGCGUACACGGUGGAUGCCCUGGCAGUCAGAGGCGAUGAAGGACGUGCUAAUCUGCGAUAAGCGCCGGUAAGGUGAUAUGAACCGUUAUAACCGGCGAUUUCCGAAUGGGGAAACCCAGUGUGACUCGUCACACUAUCAUUAACUGAAUCCAUAGGUUAAUGAGGCGAACCGGGGGAACUGAAACAUCUAAGUACCCCGAGGAAAAGAAAUCAACCGAGAUUCCCCCAGUAGCGGCGAGCGAACGGGGAGGAGCCCAGAGCCUGAAUCAGUAUGUGUGUUAGUGGAAGCGUCUGGAAAGGCGCGCGAUACAGGGUGACAGCCCCGUACACAAAAGCGCAUAUGCUGUGAGCUCGAUGAGUAGGGCGGGACACGUGGUAUCCUGUCUGAAUAUGGGGGGACCAUCCUCCAAGGCUAAAUACUCCUGACUGACCGAUAGUGAACCAGUACCGUGAGGGAAAGGCGAAAAGAACCCCGGCGAGGGGAGUGAAAAAGAACCUGAAACCGUGUACGUACAAGCAGUGGGAGCACAGGUUUACCUGUGUGACUGCGUACCUUUUGUAUAAUGGGUCAGCGACUUAUAUUCUGUAGCAAGGUUAACCGUAUAGGGGAGCCG